AACGCUAGCUACAGGCUUAACACAUGCAAGUCGAGGGGCAGCAUUGGGGUAGCAAUACUUCAGAUGGCGACCGGCGCACGGGUGAGUAACACGUAUCCAACCUGCCGAUGACUCGGGGAUAGCCUUUCGAAAGAAAGAUUAAUACCCGAUGGCAUAGUUCUUCCGCAUGGUAGAACUAUUAAAGAAUUUCGGUCAUCGAUGGGGAUGCGUUCCAUUAGGUUGUUGGCGGGGUAACGGCCCACCAAGCCUUCGAUGGAUAGGGGUUCUGAGAGGAAGGUCCCCCACAUUGGAACUGAGACACGGUCCAAACUCCUACGGGAGGUAGCAGUGAGGAAUAUUGGUCAAUGGGCGAGAGCCUGAACCAGCCAAGUAGCGUGCAGGAUGACGGCCCUAUGGGUUGUAAACUGCUUUUAUAAGGGAAUAAAGUGAGAGUCGUGACUCUUUUUGCAUGUACCUUAUGAAUAAGGACCGGCUAAUUCCGUGCCAGCAGCCGCGGUAAUACGGAAGGUCCGGGCGUUAUCCGGAUUUAUUGGGUUUAAAGGGAGCGUAGGCCGGAGAUUAAGCGUGUUGUGAAAUGUAGAUGCUCAACAUCUGCACUGCAGCGCGAACUGGUUUCCUUGAGUACGCACAAAGUGGGCGGAAUUCGUGGUGUAGCGGUGAAAUGCUUAGAUAUCACGAAGAACUCCGAUUG
rnacentral:rRNA from 1 species